rnacentral:rRNA from 1 species
UGGGGGAUAUUGCACAAUGGGCGAAAGCCUGAUGCAGCGACGCCGCGUGGGGGAUGAAGGCCUUCGGGUUGUAAACUUCUUUUGAUCUGAACAAGGCGCACCAUGGGGUGUGUUGAGUGUAGGGGUUGAUUAGCGCCGGCUAACUACGUGCCAGCAGCCGCGGUAAUACGUAGGGCGCGAGCGUUGUCCGGAAUUAUUGGGAGUAAAGGGCUUGUAGGUGGCUGGUUGCGUCUGUCGUGAAAGCUCAUGGCUUAACUGUGGGUUUGCGGUGGGUACGGGCUGGCUUGAGUGCAGUAGGGGAGGCUGGAAUUCCUGGUGUAGCGGUGGAAUGCGCAGAUAUCAGGAGGAAUACCGGUGGCGAAGGCGGGUCUCUGGGCUGUUACUGACACUGAGGAGCGAAAGCAUGGGGAGCGAACAGG